rnacentral:rRNA from 1 species
GAUGAACGCUGGCGGCGUGCCUAAUACAUGCAAGUCGAGCGAACGGACGAGAAGCUUGCUUCUCUGAUGUUAGCGGCGGACGGGUGAGUAACACGUGGAUAACCUACCUAUAAGACUGGGAUAACUUCGGGAAACCGGAGCUAAUACCGGAUAAUAUUUAGAACCGCAUGGUUCAAAAGUGAAAGACGGUCUUGCUGUCACUUAUAGAUGGAUCCGCGCUGCAUUAGCUAGUUGGUAAGGUAACGGCUUACCAAGGCAACGAUGCAUAGCCGACCUGAGAGGGUGAUCGGCCACACUGGAACUGAGACACGGUCCAGACUCCUACGGGAGGCAGCAGUAGGGAAUCUUCCGCAAUGGGCGAAAGCCUGACGGAGCAACGCCGCGUGAGUGAUGAAGGUCUUCGGAUCGUAAAACUCUGUUAUUAGGGAAGAACAUAUGUGUAAGUAACUGUGCACAUCUUGACGGUACCUAAUCAGAAAGCCACGGCUAACUACGUG